AUUGAACGCUGGCGGCAUGCCUUACACAUGCAAGUCGAACGGUAACGGGUCCUUCGGGAUGCCGACGAGUGGCGAACGGGUGAGUAAUAUAUCGGAACGUGCCCAGUAGAGGGGGAUAACUGCUCGAAAGAGCAGCUAAUACCGCAUACGACCUGACGGUGAAAGGGGGGGAUCGCAAGACCUCUCGCUAUGGGCGCGGCCGAUAUCAGAUUAGCUAGUUGGUGGGGUAAAGGCCUACCAAGGCAACGAGUUGUAGUUGGUCUGAGAGGACCAGCAGCCACACUGGGACUGAGACACGGCCCAGACUCCUACGGGAGGCAGCAGUGGGGAAUUUUGGACAAUGGGCGCAAGCCUGAUCCAGCAAUGCCGCGUGCAGGAAGAAGGCCUUCGGGUUGUAAACUGCUUUUGUCAGGGAAGAAAUCUUCUGGGCUAAUACCCCGGGAGGAUGACGGUACCUGAAGAAUAAGCACCGGCUAACUACGUGCCAGCAGCCGCCGCCG
rnacentral:rRNA from 1 species